ensembl:snoRNA
GCGGUGAUGUCUCUUAACGCGUGUUAGACUGCUGACAACCGUGAAGUAAACUCACAGCUGAGC